CGGGAUAUAGUAUAGCGGUAGUACAUACGAUUCGGGUUCGUAUAGCCCGAGUUCGAAUCUCGGUAUCCCGA
rnacentral:tRNA from 1 species